CCAGGUCCCCUUCUCCCCUCCAUCAGCGCGACUCACUUUCCCUCCACCCCUCAGUUACCCCCCCGCCCCGGGCUUGGAAGAUGUGGCACAAGGACUUCAGUGCUAAAGGCGAUGAUUGUUCACCUGGAUCAGGGUCCGCUGACUUCUUCUGUAAAGGGUGGUUUGUUUGAAUCGGGAUCCAAAUAAGGUCUACGCACUGUAUUCACGCAGAGCUUUUAAAUUUUUGAAUUAGUUGUCAACAUGUGAAAAUCUGGAUUUCGCAUAAACAUCGGGUUUUCAGCUUGUCAUGGAAAAACCCUGGGAGAUCUGGCAACUCUGCAGCCUCAUUCCCCGGCUGCGGUAGCACUGGGAAGCCAGCACGUAUUCUAGAUGGUGGCUUGUAUUCUCCCGCCCCCACUGUGCCCCCACAUUGUCACCCCUCCAACGACCCCCAAAGGCAUCGGACUGUGCCCUUCCUACUUUUGACGUUCCCACCUCCCCUCUGUCCUUGCUUAUGGUCACUUGGGCCAUUCUCUGGCCCACUUUCCCCUCCACCCACCUCUAGGCUGCCCUUUUAUCAUUCCUUUUCCUCCUUUAAGGUAGACUUUCGGAGUCUACCUGAUGCCAGGAGGAAUCGUGUAGUGCAGGUGGGCAGAGAGGAGAGGUUCACCCAGAGUGAUCAGCCAGCCCUCCAGUCCCUCAGGGUGGCUGCCUACAGGGCCCCAGGAAAGCCCCCCAGUGCCCCAGCACCCUCCUCGCUGGUUCAGUGGGUGCCUGAAGCUCACAGAGCACAGAGCCCUCACUCCUUGUAUAGAAAGAGAACACUCCUGCUUCGAAUUUGCUGUGUGACCUUCUAUAAUCACUCUCCCUCUCUGGGCUCCAGAUGCCCCUUCUAUACAAUGAGGGAGUUAGUUGGGGGCAGGGGGAGGGAAAGCUUGGGGAAGAGAAUAGUCCAAGUUGAGUUCCCAGCUGGGCUAUGAACAAUCUGUAGCUAACAACCUUCUGAUGCUGGUGAUUCUAGUGGUCAUUCAUGCCCUCUUCCCCCUUCACCAGGAUGGCCAAGGGGGAACAGAGAGGGGGAGAGGAUCUGGUAUAGACCAAGAGCAAAGCCAGGAGAGGUGCCCCCCCAAGGGCUGAGGAGGAGGAGGAAACAGCACACACCUCUCUUUCCCCCUCCACCUUCUUGGCCCACCCUUGUCUGACUGGGGCACACAUCGGUUCCUGAUUCUCUUCCCCCUGGGUACUGACGGGUCCUGUCUGGCCAUGGCACAUGCAGGACAUCCACUAGGGCAGGAGGGGGACUAAGGCUGGAUCCGAGCCUGUGUGGGUUGUCUGCAUGGGACAAGGACCGGACGGUGGCGGUAGACUCCGAGUCUGAAAAGCAAGGCUCAGGCAGUGCCCACCCUGGGGCGUUCCGUCAGGCAGAGGAGUCCAGCUGCAGGGAAACCAGGUGGCAGUCCCAGCCCAGUGGGGGAGUCAAGCACAUCAACACACAAUUACAAGAUAAUGUGAUAAGUGCUAGAAUCAAAGCCUACCUCAGGCACCUUGGGAGCACAGAGGAAAUGAUCCAUUUGUUCAUCCAGUUAUAUGUGCCCACCACCUUAUUCCAGAAAGAGUUUCAAGAGGCCAGCAAAGCCCAACAGAGAAAACGAAGUGAAAAUGAAGUAAAUGAGCAAAGGGAUAUGGUAUAGGAAAAAAAAAAAA